UUUAAGGUCUAAUCUGCCCNAUGAGGAGUUAAAUGGCCGCGGUAUUUUGACCGUGCAAAGGUAGCAUAAUAAUUAGUUUUUUAAUUGAAAGCUGGAAUGAAUGAUUGGACGAGAAAAUAGCUGUCUCAAUUUAAUUUUUUUAGAAUUUUAUUUUUAAGUAAAAAAGCUUAAAUUUUAUUGAAAGACGAGAAGACCCUAUAGAGUUUUAUAUAUAAUUAAUUAUUAAUUUUUUAGGUUAUUUUUAUUAAUAAUCAAUUAUAUAUUUUAUUGGGGCGAUAGAAAAAUAUUAUAAACUUUUUUUAAUAGUUGAACAUUAAUUUAUGAUUUAAUGAUCCAUUAAUUAUGAUUAUAAGAUUAAGUUACCUUAGGGAUAACAGCGUAAUUUUAUUUUAGAGUUCUUAUCGAAAAUGAAGAUUGCGACCUCGAUGUUGGAUUAAAAUUUAUGUUAGGUGUAGAAGCUUAAUUAUUAGGUCUGUUCGACCUUUAAAAUUUUACA
rnacentral:rRNA from 1 species